GACAGAGGUGCCAAGCGUUAGGCGGAAUCACUGGGCUUAAAGCGUGUGUAGGUGGAAGCGUAAGUACCUUGUGAAAUCCCACGGCUCAACCGUGGAACUGCUUGGUAUACUGCGUUUCUCGAGCCAACUAGGGGCUAUCGGAACAAGUGGUGGAGCGGUGAAAUGCGUAGAUAUCACUUGGAACGCCAAUGGUGAAAACAGAUAGCUGGGGUUGUGCUGACACUGAGACACGAAAGCCAGGGGAGCAAACGGG
rnacentral:rRNA from 1 species